rnacentral:rRNA from 1 species
AAUCAACGCUGGCGGCGUGCCUCAGACAUGCAAGUCGAACGCGAAAUUUCCCUUCGGGGAGAAAGUAGAGUGGCGCACGGGUGAGUAACACGUAGGUAAUUUGCCUUUGGGUGGGGAAUAACAGUCGGAAACGGCUGCUAAUACCGCAUAAUGCAGCGGCUCGACAUCGAGACAGUUGUUAAAGCGGGGGAUCGCAAGACCUCGCGCCUGAAGAGAAGCCUGCGGCAGAUUAGCUAGUUGGUA